CUAGGACAAAAUCAACAUGGCUACAUGUCAAUGUACUUUGAAUACCGUAAAUACAGGCUACGUGUAUUUGAUCGCCAAUUUUGAAUGAAAAUAGUUAAAUUGGAUGAAUUGCUGUGGGACAGUGUUAUGUCAUAACCUAAGAAAAAUAAUUUUCUAAAUUAAAUCUGAGAAUACAGAUGAAUUUCAGACGUUCUCUUUAUCAAAUUAUUAUAACAAAUACUAAUAAGUAUGCAGAUCUAUAUUUUUAAUUCCAAUCCAAGAACGUUAUACUCAAGAGAAGAAGAGUUAAUUAUACCAUUUGAUCAAUGGAUAUAUAUUUCAUUUUCUUACGGCUAACGAUUAGAAGAUUUGUAUUGAUUAAGUCAUCCUAACAAGAGUUUUAUUCUAUAAUAUUAUGUAAAUAGAAUGUAGCUGCAGUAACAAAGAAUAAUCAAGACAAGAAUCUGUCAAAAGGGGAGGUAAAUUGGAAGUGUCUACUCAUUACUAUCAAGAAUGAUAAGAAGAAUCUAACAAUACUGCAGCAAUGCAGCAAAAAGCAUCAAAGCAUCAAAAAGAUUUUUGAAUGCAUUGUUUUUAUUAUAUUUACAUUUGGAAGAAACCUUAUGCAGCAAUAUUCUAUCAAAAAAAUACCAGAAGAAAUGCAUCCUAGUUAUCAAAAAUUAAGAAAACAAACGAGAUGCAAUGUGAAUUAUUAUGCGAAUAGAAUGCAGCUGCAGUGUCAAGAAAUAAUCAAAAUUAUUAAUUGAAAAAAGGUUAAUGUAAUAAACUGUAUUACAUUAUUUGUAUUUAUAGAAAACGAAUAUUAUAUCAUUCUUAAGGGGUUAUACGCAGUUGCGAGGCUCAAAAAAGACGUCUUUUUAUGAAUUUUUUAUAGAAACAGUUUUUAUUUAUCAAUAACAAGUGAUGGUUAUUCAAAUAGAUCCUACUUUUAAGAAUACAGUAGCGCGUCGAUCAUGUAAAAAUAUUGAUGUGCACCGCUUCUGUAGAUGAUGUCUCGAACGACCUCCAAAAAAAGGCGUUUAGCGAUGAUUUCUAUUUCGGCAGUUUGGAUUAUCUGAAAUCAACAUAUGUGGUGGAUUCUUUUAAAGGAUAGAUUAAUGCAGAGCCAUAAGAGGGACCUUCUGCAGUAUUGGUAGCUUCUAAUAAGUCCAGCAUGGUGUGGUCGUCGAGCCAUUUUUCCUUCUCGCGUGCUCCCAUGCGCUCUCGCGUCGAAGAUCAUCACACGCUCUGCAUCCUUUUUGUCGACAUAAGCAUGAGCUGCGGUGCCUAAUAAACGUCCUAAUGCACACAUAAAGUACAAUAAUGAUUUUGUACCUUCAUUGAACAUUCCAGCUGCAAUGUAAGCCGCUAUUUCAACAACUUUAGAGCCACAUGGAACAAUUUUUGGAGUUAUUUUUCAUAUUAACUGAUUAUAACUCUCAUUAUUGUUUUGUGUAAAUCCACCCACACACCUUUCCAAUAAUUUUACGUUGCUAAGGUCUUCAUAAAUUGAAUAUUUAGCUUCAGCAACAUCAGCUGGUAAAGUUGGAUAAUCAUGGGUGUAAGAAGAUAAUGUUUCUGUUGCUAACUCUUGCUGCCAACUACACCAUGAACCUUCUCCACCUGGGCACAUUUCGUGUUGAGGCUUCUCAUCAGUCGAACAAUAGUAAUAAUAUGUUCCCCAAAUUGCAUUAUACAUAUUAUCUACAGAAUCAUAAUUUCUCCUUAUUGCCAAACCAUAGUAAACUGUCAGCUUAUCUAUUAGCUUAGCCGUGAGUUUACCUUUCCCUGAAAAUACUUUUUUUGCAAUGUUUUUCCGCCUUUUUCAUCUGAUUCUGUAUUUUUUUUUACUAGCUCGCGGAGUCGUGAGUGCAGCUGUUACUUCGGUUCUUAAUCUACCUGCUUUUUAACACUGACGUAGCCUUACAAAUUCAGGUAUGUCUCCGAAAAUAUUUAUCGGAUUAGCUUCAAAUUUUCAGAGAAUAUACUUAAAUAUAUGUACAUUCCGAAAAUGCAAAAAAAAAAAAAAUCGAUUUUUUGAAAAUUCUAACUGCGUAUAAACCUUUAAACCUAUAUUAUACUACAUUAAACCUAUAUUAUACUAUAUUAAACCUAUAUUAUACUACAUUAACACGUUCACGCCGGCGUCGAUUUUCAGUGUUUGCGCUGUGAAAUUAAAUACCAUAAAAUACAAUAGGCAGUAGGUAUAAAGUAUCGUUUACUUAAAGAUUAAGAUAUUCUGAAGGGCCAUAAAAUCCGUAACCAUCUAAAUGAUCAUAAAAAAAUAUGGCUUAUAAAUGUUUUCAAUGAAUACAUGUUAAAUUUUCAUUCAUUAAAUUUUCAGCGUCUAAUAGCACCGUUUAAUAGCACAAUUGAAUGCGUAGUACUGCUGGUAGUACACACUGCCCAAUGAAAAAAUCUAACGCGAACCACCGGUGGUACGCGACGCCCGAUGAAAAAAUGUAGUGCUGGCCACAGGUGGUACGUGCCGGCGUGGACGUGUUAAGUGUAGAAAAACGUAGCCGUUUUUCUAGAAAUAAUCUUAUUUUUACUUUAACGAGUGCCUAGUAAGUAAUGUGCAGAUUGACUAGGUAUUUAGCAUUUUACCAAUUAGUUAAGCAUAAACAUUUAAUAUACGCCUAUAUUUACAUUUACUCGAACCUUUUUAUAUAUACCAAUUUCUUAUUACUUUUUAUUUCGAAAAGUUAUAUCUCCAUUGAAACGAUCUAAAUCAUUUUCUGUUUUUAUCUGCUAUGCUCGGAAGUUUCGAAGCAAUUGUCAGUUCUAUGUUAAUUUCCUCAGCCAAUAAGCUUCGUGGGCGUCGGUAUAAGUAUCCAAUGAGAAACAAAGUUCACAUAUCCUAAUAACUGAUUCGUUGUUGUAUGAAAGUAGCAGGUCAAAGAAGUGGGAGUAGGCAUAGGUUUGUAAAUAUCAGGAAACAGUGCUGGCCAUUUCUUUUUUACCUGUUGAAUCUUGCGUUUUAAUUUUCCAUUAGUAAGUGUGUCUCUUUUUUUAUUUUGUCAGUGAAUUUUUUUUAUUUAGA
rnacentral:lncRNA from 1 species